rnacentral:rRNA from 1 species
UACGAAGGGUCCAAGCGUUGUUCGGAAUUACUGGGCGUAAAGCGCGCGUAGGCGGUUACUCAAGUCGGAUGUGAAAGCCCUCGGCUUAACUGAGGAAGUGCACCCGAAACUGAGUAGCUAGAGUACUAAAGAGGGUCGCGGAAUUCCCGGUGUAGAGGUGAAAUUCGUAGAUAUCGGGAGGAACACCGGUGGCGAAGGCGGCGACCUGGGUAGAUACUGACGCUGAGGAGCGAAAGCGUGGGGAGCGAACAGG